GUGACGGUCACGUGCGGAAAAGAGCGGCAGGAUUAAACUCGAUUCGGGUUCGUGAGAGAACCGGCUGCAAACGUCGAAAUCAUCGAGUCGUUGAUAUAAAAACGUGCUCGUCUCUUCUUUUGCUGCAGAUGUUUUGGACUCCAUUGGUGAGCCAGCGAUGGGAUGCUGCACUUCUCCAAACCUGAUGAAGAAAAGCUCGUCUAUAUCUCGGAUGACCCGAGGUCUACGGUGACACAUCUUCACAAUAAUUGCGGUCUGCAUUGAGGUGUCGCAACUCUUACGAUGUGAUCUAAACAUUUCAACGGCCGGGCCAGUGAUGUUGCAACUUAUUGGAGGUGUCUUGAAAGAGAACUGAAACCCCUCAUUUUAGAGUAGGCAGCUGCCUAU